GUCCACGCCCUAAACGAUGUCAACUAGUUGUUGGGUGGGUAAACCAUUUAGUAACGGAGCUAACGCGUGAAGUUGACCGCCUGGGGAGUACGGCCGCAAGGUUAAAACUACAAAGGAAUUGACGGGGACCCGGCCACAAGCGGUGGAUGAUGUGGAUUAAUUCGAUGCAACGCGAAAAACCUUAACCUACCCUUGACAUGUCAGGAACUUUCCAGAGAUGGAUUGGUGCCCGAAAGGGAGCCUGAACACAGGUGCUGCAUGGCUGUCGU
rnacentral:rRNA from 1 species